AACGAACGCUGGCGGCAGGCCUAACACAUGCAAGUCGAGCGCCCUUUCGGGGGAGCGGCGGACGGGUGAGUAACGCGUGGGAAUAUGCCCUUCUCUACGGAAUAGCCUCGGGAAACUGAGAGUAAUACCGUAUACGCCCUGUGAGGGAAAGAUUUAUCGGGGAAGGAUUAGCCCGCGUUGGAUUAGGUAGUUGGUGGGGUAAUGGCCUACCAAGCCGACGAUCCAUAGCUGGUUUGAGAGGAUGAUCAGCCACACUGGGACUGAGACACGGCCCAGACUCCUACGGGAGGCAGCAGUGGGGAAUCUUAGACAAUGGGGGCAACCCUGAUCUAGCCAUGCCGCGUGAGUGAUGAAGGCCUUAGGGUUGUAAAGCUCUUUCAGCUGGGAAGAUAAUGACGGUACCAGCAGAAGAAGCCCCGGCUAACUCCGUG
rnacentral:rRNA from 1 species